rnacentral:lncRNA from 1 species
GCAUGGUUCGAUUAACCUACUAACCCCAGGGCUCGGCCGGGAUGCUGUGGUGUGUGUCGAGGUGCUGGGCUUCUGUCGACCAACUAACGCACUAACCAGGCUCCAGCAUGUCCUACUAACCCUGUGCAGUCAGACCCUACUAACU